rnacentral:rRNA from 1 species
AUACGUAGGUGACAAGCGUUAUCCGGAUUUACUGGGCGUAAAGGGCGUGUAGGCGGUCUUGCAAGUCAGAAGUGAAAUUCCUGAGCUCAACUCGGGCGCUGCUUCUGAAACUGCAGGACUUGGGUGCUGGAGGGGAUAGCGGAAUUCCUAGUGGAGCGGUAAAAUGCGCAGAUAUUAGGAAGAACACCGGUGGCGAAGGCGGCUAUCUGGACAGUAACUGACGCUGAGGCGCGAAAGCGUGGGGAGCAAACAGGAUUAGAUCCCCUGGUAGUCCACGCCGUAAACGAUGAAUACUAGGUGUAGGGGGUAUCGACUCCCUCUGUGCCGCAGUUAACACAAUAAGUAUUCCGCCUGGGGAGUACGGCCGCAAGGUUGAAACUCAAAUGAAUUGGCGGGG